rfam:Gossypium raimondii Chr10_contig_602, whole genome shotgun sequence.
AACCCAUGGUGAGGGCGCCAUCGCAAUAAGUCCUUAUACCUCUCCCAUGCAUCAUAUAACGUCUUUAAAUUGAUUUGUACAAAGGAAGAGAUAUCAUUCCUCAACUU